rnacentral:rRNA from 1 species
GAUUAAAUCAUAUACCGAAGCUAUGGAUUGAUAGAGUUUUCGAACACUAUCAGUGGUAGGAGAGCGUAAUCAGUGCUGUGAAGCCGAACUGAAAAGGAUGGUGGAGCGCUGAUUAGUGAGAAUGCAGACACGAGUAGCGAUAAACCAGAUGAGAAUUCUGGUCGCCGUAAACCCAAGGUUUCCUGGGCCAGGUUCGUCCUCCCAGGGUUAGUCUGGACCUAACACGAGGCCGUAAGGCGUAGUGGAUGGACAGAAGGUUAAAUAUUCCUUCACCAGCUAGGAUUAAGGCGUGGAGUGCACAGAGAGAAAAGUAACUAGGCAAUCGAGUGCCGAGCUUAGCCUUCGGGCGAAGCGUAUUACCAGACAAUCUGUCUAGAAAAGCUCCACGUUGUUUCCCUGGUUGCCAGUACCGUAAACCGACACAGGUGGGUGGGUCGAGCAGACCAAGGCGCGCGAGAGAAACCUCUCUAAGGAACUCGGCACAUUAGCCCCGUAACUUCGGGAGAAGGGGUGCCUAUUUAAUAGGUCUCAGUAAAUUGCGUUUAGCGACUGUUUAACAAAAACACAGCACUCUGCUAAGUCGUCAAGACGACGUAUAGGGUGUGACACGUGACCAAUGCGGAAAGAUCAAGGCAACUUGUUAGCCGUAAGGCGAAGCUCGGAACCUAAGUCCCCGUGAAUGUCGGCCGUAACUAUAACGGUCCUAAGGUAGCGAAAUUCCUUGUCGGGUAAGUUCCGACCUGCACGAAUCGUGUAACGACUGAACGACUGUCUCGGAGAGGAUCUCGGCGAAACUGUAACGGCGGUGAAGAUGCCGCCUGCCCGCAGUAGGACGGAAAGACCCUAUGCACCUUUACUGUAAGCUCGUAUUGGGUUCUGAUUAAUAAUGCUUAGCGUAGGUGGGAGACUUUGAAGGCGUGGCUUCGGUUGCGCUGGAGUCGAAAUGUGAAACACCACUCUUAGUUAAUUAGGAUUCUAACCCCGAUUCCUGUGAAGCCAGGCGGGGGACAGUGCGUGCGGGUCAGUUUGACUGGGGCGGUUUCCUCCCAAAGAGUAACGGAGGAGCGCGAAGGUACUCUCAGUACGGUUUGCAACCGUGCGUCGAGCGUAUGGGUAGAAGAGUGCUUAACUGUGAGACCCACAAGUCGAGCAGGUACGAAAGUAGGCCAAAUGAUCCGAUAGUUUAAUGUGGAAUUGCUAUCGCUCAACGGACAAAAGGUACGCUAGGGAUAACAGGCUGAUCGCUGCCAAGAGUUCAUAUCGACGCAGCGGUUUGGCACCUGAUGUCGGCUCAUCGCAUCCUGGGGCUGAA